ensembl:lncRNA
UGUCCUUCACCUUUCUCAACCAGACAAGCUGCAAACUGUUUUUUAUCACUGCACUUGGGGUGAUACAUAUUGGCUGAACAGUUCCAACAUGCAACAAUCUUACAUCAGAAAUAUGCCACCACUGGGAUAGACAUCUUUUCUUGAACCAUGUCCUCAUAUCAUCAGACAACUGAAAAGGAUUUCUGUCAUCAACACCUCCAUUGGCUCCAACAAAAUCCUAAUGAGUGCCAGAUGCUUGGACUCAGCAGCAGCAGAAGUUGCACAAAUUGUUCUUUCAUCAUGGCUGCUGUGGCUGCAGUCUUGGCUUUGGCUUCAGUGAUCCCAUAAGUAGAAGCAGAGAGCAGAGCUGGAGCUCUCUGAAAAGAUCCUUCCUCUGGAAAAGAGACACAAAAUCAGGAAGUGGGGAGUGCUGUCAGCCGAAGAGUAGCAAGAAAAAGUUUGGCAAAGUGGCAGUAUUAGCAGAUGGUGUGGAGUGGGACAAGAGACAGUCACCAUCAAGUCAUGAAUCUUUCUAUGUUGUUUCCAUGAAAAAAAGACUCAUAGCCAGCUGGGCUGCAAUAUCAAAAAAUCUCAAUUUAUAUACGUUCAGUGAGCAAUUGUGAAGAAGAAAAGAAGCAAAGGUGAGCAAAGAGAAGACAAUAAAGGAGACUGGAAGCACGGGAAGCCUUUAGAGUUGACAGCAGAUUUUGGGUAACUGUAGAAGACAGUGGAUGAGGCUAGUAGUAGUAUAGUACACAUAAAAGAACCACAUAUUGAUGAUUCUUCUAGUAAUUUUUCUUAAAACCUUCUUUAUAGGUAUUAAGAAUGAGGAAACCAGAGGAGUUAUGAAAAGGUCUACCGAGUUAACUAAUCUAAUGAAGACAUUAGGGAGAUCUUGUUCAGUGGCCAGAAUCUUUUUUUUUUUUCCUUUCUGACAAAGUAAUGAAGCUUUCUGCAUGGAAGAAAAUAAUGGCCCUAAGAACACAGAAUGACACCUUAUAAAAAGCAAGCUGACUUGCUUAAGAUGGAAGGAGGUCACCUCUGUGGUGCUUGAGUAUCUGAUGACCAUCCUCACUGAGCACACAGGGAAUCCCCAUGCCUAUCAAUAUAUCUCCCUAAAGUAUGAGCCCAUCUUUGCUCUAGACACAGAGGGACUGGAAGCUCCUGAAAGCGAUCUUGGGGUCAGUGCAGAUGUCUUUUUUUCAGUGCUCUGUACUUCUAUCCAGUGAACUCUCAUCAGUAAUCCUCACAUCUUAACUGCAGUAAACAUUGUCAGGAAGGAGAUAUGACAACCUGCCUCAAAAACCUUGGAAAUAAACACUGAAAGAUUUUCUUGGCUGCUGCAACAAAUAUAAACACUCAGACCUGUGGAAACAAAAAUGAUGCAAGGACCAGCCUUGUCAUCUUGACAGUAGUGAAGAACUAACUGCCUAGGGGAGUAGAACAGAUUCUCUCAGCAGCUUCUCUCUAAGCUGUUUGCAGAACUGGAAACCAAGCAUCUGAAAGACUCAGACAGGAUUACACUGUUUUUUCUGCUUGAUUCCCUACAGUACCCCAGAAGACAUCCCAUGGUGUUCUUACAUGCACAAACACCAAUCUCCCUAAGAAACCUUGCUGAAGACACAGGAGCAGCCACAUGAGAUUGGAAGGCAAAGAUGCUUAUUAUAAGAGACAAGGUUAUUACAUAACACCCAUCCUUGAAGUCAAAAACUGGUGGCAUAACGGCAAGAAUACCUAGUGUGCAUUCAUUAUUGUACAAGCCUGAAUGGCACAAUUCCAUCUUGGUAUUUUCUGUCGGUUUUGUUGUGAGGACUUGUGAUUACAUAAUCUGCUAUGAUCAUGCUAAAACUAGAUAUCCAACUAAAUCAAUAAAAUGUUCUCUUUUGAGCCAGAAGUUUUCCAUUGCUAAUUUCUGCUGCUUCUUUUCUCUAUUGUCCUAAUUUUCCCAAAAGCUAAUUAUUUGUAAAUUCCAUUAAAACAGUGUUCAGUGAGGUUACUGAAUUUGUUUCACUAUUAGCAAUGUUACAGUUAUAGGUUUUACAAUUAUUCCAAUACAAUGACUGUGACACAGAGUCAGGUAGACUAAAAUAACUGUGAAAGAGACUAAAUGGUUACCAACAGUAGUUUAAAAUUUGUUUAAAUGCAUCUGUGAUUUUGUUUGUAGAAGAUAACAUUAAAAGCAUACAAGAAAAAGAUAAGCAUUAGCAUGAUUUAAUUUCAUGGUAUUUAUGAAUGUACAUCUUUGCAAUUGUUGAUAUUAAUAUCCAAGAGGCCUGAGUUCCCAUAGACUGAAAUGAUCUAUGAUGAUUUAUGGCAGCUGUUAACAUCAUGGCACUAAAUUCCUAUCUGGAUUUCAGUUCAAAACUUGACUCAGUGUCAUAACUUUGAUAACUCAUAUGCAUGGCUUAAUUCAUUUUCUGAUAUCAUGUUACUGUCUUAUUGUCAUUACUUCUCUGUGGCAAAGCAAUCACAUGUUCAAAAAGAAACUGAAAUGGUGUCAUCAAGAACUAUCCUAGCAUAUUUUUCCAAAUUUGUAUAGAAAGUAAUUUUGAUAACCUGCUUUGACAGAAGCAAUAAUGUUUUAUUGUAUGAUUUCAUCUACAG